GCCAUCUUCCUUUGUGCUAGGUCACUUGGCUCAGCGAACAUGGUUGCACUCCUGUCUACUGAGAAGAGUUGGGACCCAUUCCUUUAUAGCCUUCUCGAUUAGUCCUGAAGCUGUUCUAUACCUGGUAAACCUACAACACUAGUUCUGCCA